rnacentral:antisense_RNA from 1 species
CAGGGUUGUUAUGAGGCUCAAAGGAACUGCUGCUGUGAAAAAACAUGCUUUGCAAUUUAUGAAGCACUGGAUAAACAUCAGGAACGGUAUAAAAGCAUGCUGCUUACUCAAGAAAUACUAGUUGAGUGCCUGUGUGUUGGGCACUGGCUAGAGAUAAGGGUCUCCUAUGGACAGAAGUGCGGGCAAGGAGCUUUGUUCCUCCCCGAUGUCACCCUCCCACAGCCCACUUGCUAGCAGGCGAGAGAGGGGUGGAAGCCGGCAGUAAGGCAUGUACUGAACUGGACCUCUGGUGGAAUGGCAUCACCCACGCUGGGCUUGACUCUUACCAUCAGGGUCCUGCCAACCCUUCAGUGAGACUUUUUCCAAAGAAUCCCUUUUAAAAUGACCUCAAGCUGACCUUCCUGCUGCAGAUUCCACAUAUGGUAUCUGAGACUCACACAGUGUGGUUGGAAGAUAGUACAGUGACCUCCCAGGCACAGCCCGCUGCCAGCCCUCCACUGGCUGCCCUAGGAUGCUGGCCUUCCUCCGAUGGGAGUCGGGCCCAGUCUGCUGUCAGCCAGGAGAAGCCAGCAAGCUCCCUGCGAGGCCUGGAGGAGCCCUUCUCACUCAGCUUGGUGUUCGAUGCCAGUGCCCCCGCCCAUUGUGGGGUGAGGGUGGGACUCUCAGCACAGCCCUGUCCAAAUAAAUCCUCUAAAGCCCUCUUC